rnacentral:tRNA from 1 species
GCCUGGGUGGCUCAGUUGGUUAAGCGUCUGACUUCAGCUCAGGUCAUGAUCUCACAGCUCGUGGGUUUGAGCCCUACAUCAAGGCU